CCAGGUUGAUUCUGCCUGACGUAGACGCUAUUCCCUAAGAUUAGCCCAUGCAUGUUUUUGACAUUUGAAAAAUGGACUGCUCAGUAAUACUCACUUUAUUUUAUGUAUAUUUGAAAUUAACUACGUUAAAGUGUAGAUAAGAUGUGUACAGUAAGAGUGAGACCUAUCAGCUAGUUGUUAAGGUAAUGGCUUAACAAGGCAGUGACGGGUAACGGUAUUACUUUGUAAUAUUCCGGAGAAGGAGCCUGAGAGACGGCUACUAAGUCUAAGGAUUGCAGCAGGGGCGAAACUUGACCUAUGGAUUUUAUCUGAGGCAGUUAUGGGAAGUAAUAUUAUAUUGUUUCAUAUUGUAAAAGUAUAUGAGGUGAUUAAUUGGAGGGCAAAUCAAGUGCCAGCAGCCGCGGUAAUACUUGUUCCAAGAGUGUGUAUGAUGAUUGAUGCAGUUAAAAAGUCCGUAGUUUAUUUUUAAGAAGCAAUAUGAGGUGUACUGUAUAGUUGGGAGAAAGAUGAAAUGUGACGACCCUGACUGGACGAACA
rnacentral:rRNA from 1 species